UGGCUCAGGAUGAACGCUAGCUACAGGCUUAACACAUGCAAGUCGAGGGGCAUCAGGAAGAAAGCUUGCUUUCUUUGCUGGCGACCGGCGCACGGGUGAGUAACACGUAUCCAACCUGCCCUUUACUCGGGGAUAGCCUUUCGAAAGAAAGAUUAAUACCCGAUAGCAUAAUGAUUCCGCAUGGUUUCAUUAUUAAAGGAUUCCGGUAGAGGAUGGGGAUGCGUUCCAUUAGGUUGUUGGUGAGGUAACGGCUCACCAAGCCUUCGAUGGAUAGGGGUUCUGAGAGGAAGGUCCCCCACAUUGGAACUGAGACACGGUCCAAACUCCUACGGGAGGCAGCAGUGAGGAAUAUUGGUCAAUGGGCGCUAGCCUGAACCAGCCAAGUAGCGUGAAGGAUGAAGGCUCUAUGGGUCGUAAACUUCUUUUAUAUAAGAAUAAAGUGCAGUAUGUAUACUGUUUUGUAUGUAUUAUAUGAAUAAGGACCGGCUAACUCCGUGCCAGCAGCCGCGGUAAUACGGAGGAUCCGAGCGUUAUCCGGAUUUAUUGGGUUUAAAGGGAGCGUAGGUGGACUGGUAAGUCAGUUGUGAAAGUUUGCGGCUCAACCGUAAAAUUGCAGUUGAUACUGUCAGUCUUGAGUACAGUAGAGGUGGGCGGAAUUCGUGGUGUAGCGGUGAAAUGCUUAGAUAUCACGAAGAACUCCGAUUGCGAAGGCAGCUCACUGGACUGCAACUGACACUGAUGCUCGAAAGUGUGGGUAUCGAACAGGAUUAGAUACCCUGGUAGUCCACACAGUAAACGAUGAAUACUCGCUGUUUGCGAUAUACAGUAAGCGGCCAAGCGAAAGCAUUAAGUAUUCCACCUGGGGAGUACGCCGGCAACGGUGAAACUCAAAGGAAUUGACGGGGGCCCGCACAAGCGGAGGAACAUGUGGUUUAAUUCGAUGAUACGCGAGGAACCUUACCCGGGCUUAAAUUGCAGUGGAAUGAUGUGGAAACAUGUCAGUGAGCAAUCACCGCUGUGAAGGUGCUGCAUGGUUGUCGUCAGCUCGUGCCGUGAGGUGUCGGCUUAAGUGCCAUAACGAGCGCAACCCUUAUCUUUAGUUACUAACAGGUUAUGCUGAGGACUCUAGAGAGACUGCCGUCGUAAGAUGUGAGGAAGGUGGGGAUGACGUCAAAUCAGCACGGCCCUUACGUCCGGGGCUACACACGUGUUACAAUGGGGGGUACAGAAGGCAGCUAGCGGGUGACCGUAUGCUAAUCCCAAAAGCCUCUCUCAGUUCGGAUCGAAGUCUGCAACCCGACUUCGUGAAGCUGGAUUCGCUAGUAAUCGCGCAUCAGCCACGGCGCGGUGAAUACGUUCCCGGGCCUUGUACACACCGCCCGUCAAGCCAUGGGAGCCGGGGGUACCUGAAGUACGUAACCGCAAGGAUCGUCCUAGGGUAAAACUGGUGAC
rnacentral:rRNA from 1 species